AGAUUAUUGUUACACGUGAUUUUAUGCUCUUUUAAACAUUUAUAAAUGUGCUGCUUCUUUGUUUUUUACAUAGCCACCCAGAAUAGAGCUCCCAGCCUCAGUGUGUCUGGUGACACCGGGACCAUGACGGAAAUUCAUCUUCCAGAAAGUCCCAGUGCAGCGUCCACACCCCUGAAAAGACCAAGAUGUGAGGUGUCUGCUGUUGAUUCCAGCUUCCACCUCAGUGACAGUGCAAGCUCAGUGAACUGUUCAAGGAGGCUACUGAUUCUGGCCCUGUGACACUUGGUGGUGACGUGUGAGCUGAUUCACCUGGUAAAUAACUUUUACAUUAAAUAUUUUGUUCUUUGCUAUCAAAAGUAAAUUAACUAAUAACCUGCAUUAUUGCAGGACACUCAGCAAAAUAUGGACUCCACACCAUGAGGCAGGCACACGUUAAUACUCUAUAAGAGCACAUAAGCAUGAGGAUGUCCUCACACACCUGUAACCUAUCAGCUCAUCUGGCAGAAUAGAGAGAAGAGACAACACCACAUCUCCUGUUCCUGGAAAGCCUUCAG